AUUGAACGCUGGCGGCAUGCCUUACACAUGCAAGUCGAACGGUAACGGGCCUUCGGGUGCCGACGAGUGGCGAACGGGUGAGUAAUGUAUCGGAACGUACCAUUCAGUGGGGGAUAACGCAGCGAAAGUUGCGCUAAUACCGCAUAUUCUGUGCGCAGGAAAGCAGGGGAUCGCAAGACCUUGCGCUGAUUGAGCGGCCGAUAUCAGAUUAGCUAGUUGGUGAGGUAAAGGCUCACCAAGGCGACGAUCUGUAGCGGGUCUGAGAGGAUGAUCCGCCACACUGGAACUGAGACACGGUCCAGACUCCUACGGGAGGCAGCAGUGGGGAAUUUUGGACAAUGGGCGCAAGCCUGAUCCAGCCAUGCCGCGUGAGUGAAGAAGGCCUUCGGGUUGUAAAGCUCUUUCGGCCGGGAAGAAAUCGUAUGGGUUAAUACCCUGUGCGGAUGACGGUACCGGCAUAAGAAGCACCGGCUAACUACGUGCCAGCCGCCGCCGUAAUAC
rnacentral:rRNA from 1 species